AUGAGAUUUUAAAGCAAGGAUAUGCUAUUGCAAAACUCAAAACCUAAAGAUGGAACUAGUAAAGUGGAAGUUGUAGAUUUACCAGUGUUCGGAUUGGAAAAGUUGGCAAUCGCGACAGACAAUUUUCAGGAAAUUAACAAGCUUGAGCAAGGUGGUUUUGGCACAUUAUACAAGGGAAAAUUAGAAGAUGGACUGCAUGGACAGAGAAAAUAGGUUACCAAAACUGAGACCAGCUCAACAUAUAGCUUCCUAAGGCAAGAAGGAUGUUACUAUUCAAACUUCACAGGCUGGAUCAGAAAUGCAAAAUUAGGUUGAAGCCGCUACACAUCAGUUUUAGAUAUUUGGUGC